CCCUGAUCCAGCAAUGCCGCGUGAGUGAAGAAGGCCUUCGGGUUGUAAAGCUCUUUUGUCAGGGAAGAAACACCGGCUCUAACACAGUCCGGGAAUGACGGUACCUGAAGAAUAAGCACCGGCUAACUACGUGCCAGCAGCCGCAGUAAUACGUAGGGUGCGAGCGUUAAUCGGAAUUACUGGGCGUAAAGCGUGCGCAGGCGGUUAUACAAGACAGGCGUGAAAUCCCCGGGCUUAACCUGGGAAUGGCGCCUGUGACUGUAUAGCUAGAGUGUGUCAGAGGGGGGUAGAAUUCCACGUGUAGCAGUGAAAUGCGUAGAUAUGUGGAGGAAUACCAAUGGCGAAGGCAGCCCCCUGGGAUAACACUGACGCUCAUGCACGAAAGCGUGGGGAGCAAACAGGAUUAGAUACCCUGGUAGUCCACGCCCUAAACGAUGCUGACUAGUUGUUCGGGAUUUACAUCCUGAGUAACGUAGCUAACGCGUGAAGUCAGCCGCCUGGGGAGUACGGUCGCAAGAUUA
rnacentral:rRNA from 1 species